rnacentral:rRNA from 1 species
CCGUAAACAACGGGAAGCGAAGCCGCGAGGUGGAGCAAAUCCCCAAACACGGUCCCAGUUCAGAUUGCAGGCUGAAACCCGCCUGCAUGAAGACGGAAUUGCUAGUAAUCGCGGAUCAGCAUGCCGCGGUGAAUACGUUCCCGGGCCUUGUACACACCGCCCGUCACACCAUGAGAGUCGGUAACACCCGAAGCCGGUGACCCAACCAAACGGAGGGAGCCGUCGAAGGUGGGACCGAUAACUGGGGUGAAGUCGUAACAAGGUAGC